rnacentral:rRNA from 1 species
GGAGUUAGCCGGUGCUUCUUCUGCGAGUAACGUCACAGAUGUAAGGUAUUAACUUACACCCUUUCCUCCUCGCUGAAAGUGCUUUACAACCCGAAGGCCUUCUUCACACACGCGGCAUGGCUGCAUCAGGGUUUCCCCCAUUGUGCAAUAUUCCCCACUGCUGCCUCCCGUAGGAGUCUGGGCCGUGUCUCAGUCCCAGUGUGGCUGAUCAUCCUCUCAGACCAGCUAGGGAUCGUCGCCUAGGUGAGCCUUUACCUCACCUACUAGCUAAUCCCACCUGGGCUUAUCCAUCAGCGCAAGGCCCGAAGGUCCCCUGCUUUCCCCCGUAGGGCGUAUGCGGUAUUAGCAGUCGUUUCCAACUGUUAUCUCCCACAAAUGGGCAAAUUCCCAGGCAUUACUCACCCGUCCGCCGCUCGUCAUCUUCAAAGCAAGCUUUUGAAUGUUACCGCUCGACUUGCAUGUGUUAGGCCUGCCGCCAGCGUUCAAUCUGAGCCAGANCAACUACUCGACUGUAGCGGCGUCGCGACGGACGGC